UUACAUAAUCAUUUCUAAGGGGCUUUUUCUACGGUGAAGCCUACCUAGUUGAGAUCGCGCGAUAUCCCUAGGAGUCGGUUGUCGAACGAUAUGUUGCCAUUGGCAACUUCUAGGAAGGGGCCGCGGGAAGAGAAUUUCAAGUAAAUAAAAAAAAAAAGAACUAAGCUCCUCACUCCUCUCACCCUAUUCUUAUACAUUCUUCAUCGUUUCGCAUCGCACAUCACAUUCGGAAGGAAAAAGGACCCAUCACCAUGGCCAGAAGGGAGUUGAAUAUCAAGGGAAGAAGAAUCAAGAAAGCUGAGAAGAAAAUAAAAGAGAUGAAAGCCUCGACAGAAGAAAUGAGAAAUGAGAUGACCCAUCUGAUAAACUUGGCUGAGAAUUGUCAUAAUGCGUUCCUCCAAAUUAGGGAAGCAGUUCAUCCACUAAUCUUGGCUGCUCAGUCGUUGGAUGCUCAAGUCGAUGAACUGGUUUCUGCCUUCCUUGCUCAAAACCACAAAGAUUGAUCACUUCUCUUCCUGUUUGCGGUGGGUGCUUGGAGGGGUUAGAUCAGCUGGUAUUGUGGAAGGAUUUUUGUGAUGCUUUUAAGCUUCUAUAACGUGGCUUCUUUUUAGUGUUUCUUAGUGGAAAUAAACAAGUGUGCUAUGAAUUUUAUUCUAAUGUUGUUUUUGUGUAUGAUCACUGGACAUAUUAUAUGAUGGAAUUGCAGUUUUUAAUAUGA